UACGAAGGGGGCUAGAGUUGCUCGGGAUCACUGGGCGGGAAGCGCACGUAGGCGGACUCUUAAGUCGGGGGUGAAAUCCUGGAGCUCAACUCCAGAACUGCCUUCGAUACUGAGAGUCUUCGAGUUCGGGAGAGGUGAGUGGAACUGCGAGUGUAGAGGUGAAAUUCGUAGAUAUUCGCAAGAACACCAGUGGCGAAGGCGGCUCACUGGCCCGAUACUGACGCUGCGGUGCGAAAUCGUGGGGAGCAAACAGG
rnacentral:rRNA from 1 species